UUUAUUACUUUUAACCCAUUCAGAGAACUGUCUUUGAUUUUUCUUUUAAAGGAAACAAAACAUGUUUGUGGUUUCAUAAUAAGGAACCAGCUGAGCUUGUGCUCUGAUGAACUGGUUGACAGGAUGCCUAGAAAAAAUCCCUGCAUGUGGAGCCUGGAAUAAGUACCUUCAACAAGAGUCCCAGGAGAAGCUGGGGCAACGAGGGGACAGAUAUGCCUGAAAUAUAAACUAUGGCCUUUGGACUGACAGUCCUCUGGAGCUGCUUGUCCACGCUGGCAUGGUAGACUGGAUGGAGUGCUGUUUUUUCAAGACAUCCAGAGUAUUCUCCACUCCACCCACAAAUCCUUCUCCACUCAUUUGGAAACAGGAAUGUCUUGAAAAGAAUAUGACCUCGCAAUAAAACAAAUGCAAAUCCUUUAAUCUCAC